ACGCGAAGAACCUUACCCAGGCUUGAACAGCGAGUGACCACCUACGAAAGUAGGCUUCCGCAAGGACACUCGUAGAGGUGCUGCAUGGCUGUCGUCAGCUCGUGUCGUGAGAUGUUGGGUUAAGUCCCGCAACGAGCGCAACCCUUGUUUGCUGUUGCCAUCAGGUUAAGCUGGGCACUCUGCAAAGACUGCCGGUGAUAAACCGGAGGAAGGUGGGGAUGACGUCAAGUCAGCAUGGCCUUUAUGUCUGGGGCUACACACGUGCUACAAUGGCCGGUACAAACCGUCGCGAGCCCGCAAGGGGGAGCUAAUCGGAGAAAGCCGGUCUCAGUUCGGAUAGCAGGCUGCAACUUGCCUGCUUGAAGUUGGAAUCGCUAGUAAUCGCGGAUCAGCACGCCGCGGUGAAUACGUUCCCGGGCCUUGUA
rnacentral:rRNA from 1 species